GAUAGUUUUAAGUUGUGAUUUUACAUUCUUCAGCCGUUAUAGUUGUAUAUAAAGUAGUACAUAUUAACGAAAGUUAUUAUUUAAGACCCAUUUCAAAGAGCGAGCUACACCUGUGCUACUUAAUGUUAAGGUGGUUAGAUAUAGUUUUAAAAAAUGGAAAAUUCACUAUUUAGAUCGGUAUUUUUUUAGAAUAAUUACUUGUUGAAGAACAAAACGCAUCUUACUGAUGUAAAACAACAUCUAAAAGCUGAUUUCUACUGUUGCGUUUUUCGUACGCACGUACACGCACGUAAAACUUUGAAUCCUUUUAUUUUUUAAAUAUUUUACAAAUAAG